ACCCGCACAAGCGGUGGAUGAUGUGGAUUAAUUCGAUGCAACGCGAAAAACCUUACCUACCCUUGACAUGUCCGGAAUCCCGAAGAGAUUUGGGAGUGCUCGCAAGAGAGCCGGAACACAGGUGCUGCAUGGCUGUCGUCAGCUCGUGUCGUGAGAUGUUCGGUUAAGUCCGCUAACGAGCGCAACCCUCGCUGUGUGUUAUAUGUGUCACACGGGACUGCCGGUCUUAAGCCGGAGGAAGGUGGGAUGAUGUCAAGUCAGCAUGGCCUUUAUAUCCUGGGCUACACACACGCUACAAUGGCCAACACAAUAGGUUGCUAAGCCGCGAGGUGGCGCCAAUCCAUAAAGUUGGUCUCAGUUCAGAUUGUAGGCUGCAACCCGCCUGCAUGAAGAUGGGGUUGCUAGUAACCGCAGGUCAGCUAUACUGCGUUGAAUACGUUCCCGGGGCUU
rnacentral:rRNA from 1 species